AGAAAAAUGCUAAAAAGGUCUUUUUCUUAAACAUUAGUCAAAGUUGAUGCGAGAAGUGAUGAACUCCUAACCAAAAAAGGAGAAGUUAUGCAGUUUGGGAUGUUAAAGCUUGAGGUUAUCUUAGGUUAAUUAUGAGGGUUGCAAAUUAUGUAAUUAGGAAGUAGAGAAAUAAUAUAUAAUCAAAUUGGUUUUCAGUUAGUAACUUUGAG
rnacentral:misc_RNA from 1 species